GAUGAACGCUGGCGGCGUGCCUAAUACAUGCAAGUCGAGCGAACAGACGAGGAGCUUGCUCCUCUGACGUUAGCGGCGGACGGGUGAGUAACACGUGUAUAACCUACUUAUAAUACUGGGAUAACUUCGGGAAACCGGAGCUAAUACCGGAUAAUAUAUUGAACCGCAUUGUUCAAUAGUGAAAUUCGGUUUUUCUGUCACUUAUAGAUGGAUCCGCGCCGCAUUGGCUAGUUGGUAAGGUAACGGCUUACCAAGGCAACGAUGCGUAGCCGACCUGAGAGGGUGAUCGGCGACACGGGAGGUGAGACAGGGUCCAGACUCCUGCGGGAGGCAGCAGUAGGGAAUGUUCCGCAGUGGGCGAAAGCAUGGCGGAGCAAGGCGGCGUGAGUGAUGAAGGUCUUCGGAUCGUAAAGCUCUGUUAUUAGGGGAGAACAGAUGUGGAAGGAGCUGUGCAGGUCGUGACGGUACCGGAUCAGAAAGCCACGGCUAACUACGUG
rnacentral:rRNA from 1 species